GAUGAACGCUAGCGGCAGGCCUAAUACAUGCAAGACGAACGGUAAGCGGUGUAGCAAUAUAUCGCCAAGAGUGUCGUAAGGGUGCGUAACACGUAUGCAAUCCGCCCUCAACAGGAGGAUAGCUCCCCGAAAGGGGAAUUAACACUCCAUAAGAUCACACGAAGGCAUCUGAGAGUGAUUAAAUCUACGGAGGUUGAGGAUGGGCAUGCGGAUGAUUAGCUAGUUGGCGGAGUAACGGACCACCAAGGCGAUGAUCAAUAGGGGAACUGAGAGGUUUAUCCCCCGCAAUGGCACUGAGAUACGGGCCAGACUCCUACGGGAGGCAGCAGUAGGGAAUAUUGGACAAUGGUUGCAAGACUGAUCCAGCCAUGCCGCGUGCAGGAAGAAGGCCUUCUGGGUCGUAAACUGCUUUUCUCUGGGGAUAAAAAGGCCAUGCGUGGCAAAUUGAAGGUACCAGAGGAAUAAGCCACGGCUAACUACGUGCCAGCCGCCGCCGUAAUAC
rnacentral:rRNA from 1 species